rnacentral:rRNA from 2 species
GAAGGGGAUCAAAUACAGCCCUAGUUCUGACCAUAAACGAUGCCACCUGACGAUCCUCCAGGGUUACUACCAUGACUCGGCGGGCAGUCCCCGGGAAACCCAAGCCUUCGGGUUCCGGGGGAAGUAUGGUUGCAAAGCUGAAACUUAAAGGAAUUGACGGAAGGGAACCACCAGGAGUGGAGCCUGCGGCUUAAUUUGACUCAACACAGGGAACCUCACCCGGCCCGGACACCGCAAGGAUUGACAGAUUGAGAGCUCUUUCUCGAUUCGGUGGGUGGUGGUGCAUGGCCGUUCUUAGUUGGUGGAGCGAUUUGUCUGGUUAAUUCCAAUAACGAACAAGACUCUAGCCGGUUAAGUAGCCCGAGCGGUUUUUGAUCUUUGCCGUCCAUCCUCGUGCCGACCUUCCGCACUU